GCCGGUCUCGCCCUCCUGGCCUCCGAGACGUUUUGGCGUUGGUUUUUCUGUGCCCAUCAGCGUGUUUUUGCCUGUUUGCUUGUUUGCUUAAAUAUAGAGCCUUAGCUCCCAGAGAAAGCCUCAGGAAUGCGCUUGUCGGACGGUGCCUCUCCUCGUAGAUCCUCCGGGCAGGACCUCCAGGGGACGCCACGAAUCCAUAGCAGCCUUCCCUGCCGGGCCAGGCCUACUCACCUAGACCGAGCUUGGGGGCUCAGCAAACAUGGUCUCGGAGUUAACUGUUUCCUCAUCUGGAAAAUGAGGAAGUCAGAAGACUUCGAUGGAACGAUGGAGACAAAGCAUGCUGUAGCACAAGAUGUGAAGAUCCCCUGGCUAGGAUCACGGCUUGGCAACAGCUGCAGAGAUAAGGAACAGAUCUGCUCUCCAUGCUCUCCUCGCCAGCCUAAGCUUGCUGAUUGUUAUGGAUUGAAUUAUGUCACCCUGAAAAGAUACAUUGGAGUUUUAACCACCAGGACCUUAUUGGGAAAUAAGGUCCUUGCAGAUGUGAUUAAGAUGAAGUCACACUGGUUUAGGGUUGGCCUCUAAUGCAACGUGACUGGUGAAAUGACGUGCAGACCCGCAUAAAAAACCCCAGGAUUCUACAAGUCAAAGCAACUGGCACAGAUGCCCCCUUGGCCGUCAGAACUAAUCCUGCUGACACCUUAUUCUUAGCUUCUAGCCUCCAGGACUGGGAAACCUUCCAUUUCUGUUGAUUAGGGCGCCCUCACCGUGUGGUUUGUGGUCCUUCAUUAUGGCAGCCCUACCAGACUAACCCACUGAAGGGAGGAAGGAGGCCGGCCGGAGAUCGCCGCGCAAGUCGGGAGGAUGGGCAGCACCCGCGCGGGCUGGGAGCCAGCGGGAGAUGCGGACCCUAUGCUCCGACCUGACCCAGGGAACCCACUGUUCACCCGCAGCCCCACCCCGGCUCGCAAUGAGGUGCAGGCGCAGGCCAGGCUGGCAGUGGGGGGUGGGGGGAAGAAGGGGUCGAGAAUGAGGCUGACUCCUAGGAGCUGUAGCCUCACCUGUUCACUGAACCGAAACCUCAGUGAGGCCCUAGUUGCGCUUGUGUUCUUCUCAUAGGUUUCCUAAAGUGGUAACAAGCGUAGCAGCAGCAGGGGGAGCAGCCUGGAAGGCAAAGUGGAGGCCCUGGGCUUGCAAGCACUGCCCCCUCGGCUCCUGAGGCCUCUGUGGAGGGAGUGGGGCAGUAGUUCUGGACAUAAAGGUCUCUGUGGGUCCCCUCUUCUCAUUUCCCCAA